CCCUACACGGUAAAAUAGAUUUUGCACCCAGAACAGCAAGCAAUAGUGCCUUCAGACUCCGUUUACAGAGUCGCCCGUUCUCCAACCGUUGCUUCCGCAUACGUCAACACGUUGGGUGAUCGAGGAUCUAGUUCUUUAACAUAAGUGUCGUCACUAAAUGGGAGUGGCCAAAAUCGGUGACAGAGAAGAACGUGAACCAAUAAGAUCAAAGAAUCUGAUCACGUGCGCUCUUCCAAUCAGACACAGGCGUGUGUAGCGUAGUUGCUGGACGUGGGUCCUUCUUGGUGUAACCUCUGUUGCCCAGCUAUUUUUCAAAAUGCAAGCUGCUAUGGAUAUAUCGGCCAAGUAUUGCCAAAAAGAACUGGAAUCAUAUGGAUCCUGUGUAUCCUCCAACCCGUCCACAUGGCAACAAAAAUGCCACGAACUGAAGAUGAAAGUUGCACAUUGUACAGCAUCACACCCAGUGAUACAGAAGAUCAAGCGGGACUGUUCCAAGGAGUUUGUGGAAUUUGAUAAAUGUCUCAGAGAAAACCAGAGCACACCUACAUCCUGCACGUCACAUGUAGCACGCUUUGUGGGUUGUGCAGAAACUGUGGACCUCAGCAAAGUGGAAACAAAUCCAGCAUCGUCAUCAACAUAAGACCCAUCAGUGAACAUCAUGUCAACACCUUUGUUUGCUCCACAACAUAGAUGAGUUGGUAUAAUAUAUCUCCCAACAUGUACCUACUUGUUAUUGGGUUAAACAUUUGAAAGCAAUGUUUUAAAAUAGCCGAUUUCCACUUUAAACCCAAUUGUUUUGCUUUUGUCAUCUUUAACUAUUUUCAUGAAUGAGUGUUCAGAUUUAGAUUAAAAACUUUGACUAACAAUGCGCUUUGGAAAGCGUUUUUCAUUUAAUUGAUAUUAGAUGUCUAUUAUUCAUGUGCAGUCAUGAUCUGGUUUUGUUUUCUGUUUUUAUGUCAGUCCCUCCUACCAUUGCCCUCUGCAAGUCUGAGUCACAGUCAAAUAUUAAACUGGAAUGUAUUACUCCCA